rnacentral:lncRNA from 1 species
CUUGGGAAGUGAUUUUUUCUAAGUGAGUCUGUUGAGAUUCAUUGAUUUAACAGUACUGUAUUUAUUGAGUGCCUUUUAUGUGCCAAGUGCUUGGGGUGCUGGGCAUAAUGCUAAUGCUAAUCUAGACCAUAUGUCAAGUGUAUGUGUACCAGGCAUGGGGCUAUGUGCCUUUCAUUCAUUACCUCAUUUAGAAAUCAUUAUAACUCUAUGAACUGGGUUUUCCUUUUACCCCAUUUUAUAGAUGGCAUAGUUGAGACCCAGGGAGCUUAAUUAAUUAUGCUUCAGGUCAUAAAACCAAUACAAGGGUUAGCUGGGAUUUGAACCCCAACAAUUUGGAGAGACAUAGGUCUCUUUAAAUGUAUGCUUCUCACCCUAGUUUAUGCCCUCAACAAACCCGCAGUCUAGGGAGGAUUUAGGCAAGUCAAUCAGUGAUGAAAUGUCAUGAUGAUGUAGGCUAUGAUGAGAGUAAGCUUAGGGCUUCUGGAAGUCCAGAGAAGAGACACCUAAUCUAGCCUGAGGAGGUACUCAUGGAAGGCUUCCUGGAGGAGAACUGAACAAGGAAGAAAUUGCCCCCAACUGCGGCUGGUCACCACCUUAAAACAUUGAAGGCAGUCAACCUACGAGCAAAGUCAGCACCAAGAGGAGGGCAGAAGCUGGAGGACUGCAGAGGAACUGCACUGCUGUUUCCCCCAGUUUGGGGCUUUUUCAUUAAGUGAAAAAGUGCAUUAAGUUGGUUUGAGUUUUGUUUUAUUUUUUAAGUAACAUUAAUUACAAGAAUUCCUGAUACAGAGGACAUCAGAGAUUACUUCCCACAGAAGAAUACAUCAGAUAUAAGACAAGGGAAUGUUGGAAAAGUUGAGGACAUAUGUCUGACUUCACUGUUGGGAGAAAGGAGCCAGAGAAAGAGGCCCAGAAACUAAGAUGAGGCCUAGAAAUACAAUGUAAGGUAGCAGUGAUCCAGGAGGGAAAAGCCCUUUAGAGAUGAUGAGCAGCUCGAUACAAACAUAGCCUUACCUCAUCUCAUCUCAUCAGCUGGAUGGUCCUGAUAAAUUAUAAGGAGUGGAGGAAGAAACAAUGAUAUCUGUGGAGAGGGAUGUUUUUGUCCUCCUUUGACAUGCUAGGCAUGUUCUAGAUCAUUUCUGGGAACUGGGACACACUCCACUGGCCAUCUAGAUACCCAGCAAACACAUCUUACCUUAUACAUGGUCAGUGGUCCAUGCUCUACUGAUUGCUAACUCCACCAAAGAGCUAUCAGUUAGGAAUGAAGGCAGGGGAAGUUUUGCACAAUCUAAGUAGUCGCUGGCUUUGGAUUUGAAAAAGAAAAUCCUCAACUCAACUAAGCAAUUUUCACUUUGAAAUUAAAUACAAGUUGCUGACCAGCUUUUGCUGAAGAGUUGGAGUGUAAGUGUGCAUGCACACACACAAAUAAUAACAAAACAGUGACUUUUGUACAUAAUACUAUGGUUUCAAGGAGAUCUCUGUGCCCCUGGUGGAACUUCUUACUCUACUCAGUCACCUGAAUGAAUGCAACUAUUCAUUCAAUCAUUUAUUUGUUUAAAAAAUGUUUAUUUGAGACCUAUUAUUGGCCAUGUAUGGUGUUAGGGAUGGGGGAUAUAAGA